CACGUACGAACACCGCUUGACAGGAGCGGGGGAACCACCUCUGGAACCGAUUCCGGUUCCUUGGGGCGAACGGUCCGGCCCUGUCGGACCAGGGGCACUCCAGCCCUAGCCCGACAGCUCACCCCGCAGGCACUGGAGGAACUACAU
rfam:Serinicoccus sp. JLT9, complete genome.